AUUUUCCUAGUGUAGCAAACCGGCUCAAAUUAAGAUCCAACAUCUGCAGCAAUAUACCUCUCUCUAAUGUAUAUGGCUAUAUUGAGAUUCACUUUUGACCAUUUGACAUCUUGUAUUUCCUGUUGUUUAGGCUGGUUGAAUGAGUUGCCUGUGAAAGCUACUUCAUCUGCAAGAAAACAGGCGGCUGCACCAGUGACUGUCAGAAGUUUUGUGAUUUCCUCAUAUGAACGUGAAAGGGUCCUGUCUCUAAAAUGAGUCUCUCUGGGGAGAGGAAGGAGGGGGACCCUGCCUCUAAAAUGAGUCUCUCUGGGGAACAUGACACCAAAUCUAAGAGUCCAAUCAAGCAGGAGAGACCAGCCUCCCCUGUACCCAGCUGUGUGUCCAUGAAGAGUGACCGGUCUUUGCGUCAACCUAUAGAGUUUAGAGAGGGAGACUUUUCUACUGAACAAAGGUAAGAAGAACUCAUGGGUCAUGGUCAGUGAGUUAAACAACACUGUCUCUAGUCAUUUCUCCUAUCCCAUUUUCCCAUUUUCUUUUUGUAGUUUUCAUAAUCCAUAGGCUAAUCCUUUCGUCCAUUUUCAUAGUCCUAAAACAAUAUUAAACAAACACAAUAUUCCCUCCUUGUGUGUGUGUCUCUCUGUCUGUCUAUCUGUCUGUCUGUCUCUUUGCCUGUCUCUCUGUCUGUGUGUAUUUUGCUGUCUGUCUGUCUGUCUGUCUGUCUGUCUGUCU